UACAGAUGAUGUAUUUUCACGAUGGUCUUCUGAAAGUUAUAUGAAGACAUCUGCCAGGUGGCAUUGCUGAAGUAGACAC